GGGAAGAGUCAUCUUUGCUCAUAAAGACAAUGGGGGAUGAUGAAGCAAUAGAAAGAAGAAACUGGGUUCCUGGUGACUUUGUUGAGCACAGCCACCCUUCCCAUCCAGACAGCCCAACAGCUCCACUCCUCCUUCCAGUCAGCCUCCUGGGGCAGGCACAGAAGGGUGGAGGGAAGACCUCAUUAAAUAAAGACAUCCAGCACACCAAAACAGGCAGAAAGCAGACAUGAUAACGAGAUUGCCACCUAUUUACCUUCUUGUAACCAUAAGAAUGAGGGAAGCUUCAUUCCGACGGAGUUCGACCAAAAUAGAGAAGAAGUUGUAAGGGCAACCCUUGCAUAAAAAUAUCCACUCACCAACUGUUCACCAACUGUUCUUCCUCUUGCUGGCAUACCUUAUGCAGCAUCCUCAGAUGCCAGAGCGCGUUUCUGCUGCAGCCUCCACGAUGCCUGGGCUGAUAGCAAUCAGGUCCUGCUAUGGCCUAAGCCAUGCAGGCAUGAGGAGAACAGACCCCAG
rnacentral:lncRNA from 10 species